UCUGCGGCAUGGUCUAGUGGCUAGGAUACCUGGCUCUCACCCAGGAGGCCUGGGUUCGAUUCCCGGUGGCGGAA
rnacentral:tRNA from 1 species